AGAUUGAAACGAACGCUUGAACCGUUGACCCCGGUUUGUCAGUACUGUGAGAAAACUGAAUUACCGAAGGAACUUGGAUGCUAAAACAAGCGUUUGAGCUGCUUUACUGUCGAGUAGGAGUCAGCCUGGACGCUGAAUACACCUACGGCGCCAAGGUGUCACCACUUUUUCCACCACAUCGUGCAUGAUCGCCCGAGACAUUGUCAACGAUCGGAGAGACAUUGUUGAGGAUGAGGGAGACAUGGUCCACGAUCAGAGACGUCGUCUAUGGUCGCAGAGACAUUGUCAAAGACGAGAGAGACGUUGUCCAUGGUCAGAGACAUUGUCCCAUGCUUCGUAGAGACCUUGCGAUAGAAUCGGCGGAGACUGGGGUCACCGAUUUGACGGCACUGCCCGCGAUCAUGGAGACAUUGUCGAUGAUCACAGAGACAGCGUCUAUGAUCUCAGAGACAUCGUCCACGAUCACAAAGACAUUGUCCAUGAUCACAGAGACUUUGUCCAUAAUCUCAGAGACAUUGUCUGCGAUCACAGAGACAUAGUCCACGAUCACAGAGACGUAGUCCAUGAUUACAGAAAGUCUCAUUCAAUGAGGAAGUUCUUUGAGACCAGGACAGAGGCCUCCAGGUGUCACCACUUUUUCCACCACAUCGUCCACGAUUGCUGAGACAUCGUCAACGAUCGGAGAGACAUUGUUGAGGAUGAGGGAGACAUGGUCCACGAUCAGAGACGUCGUCUAUGGUCGCAGAGACCUUGUCAAAGACGAGAGAGACGUUGUCCAUGGUCAGAGACAUUGUCCCAUGCUUCGUAGAGACCUUGCGAUAGAAUCGGCGGAGACUGGGGUCACCGAUUUGACGGCACUGCCCGCGAUCAUGGAGACAUUGUCGAUGAUCACAGAGACAGCGUCUAUGAUCUCAGAGACAUCGUCCACGAUCACAAAGACAUUGUCCAUGAUCACAGAGACUUUGUCCAUAAUCUCAGAGACAUUGUCCGCGAUCACAAAGACGUAGUCCACGAUCACAGAAAGUCUCAUUCAAUCAGGAAGUUCUUUGAGACCAGGACAGAGGCCUCCAGGUGUCACCACUUUUUCCACCACAUCGUCCAUGAUCGCCCGAGACAUCGUCCACGAUCGGAGAGACAUUGUUGAGGAUGAGGGAGACAUGGUCCACGAUCAGAGACGUCGUCUAUGGUCGCAGAGACCUUGUCAAAGACGAGAGAGACGUUGUCCAUGGUCAGAGACAUUGUCCCAUGCUUCGUAGAGACCUUGCGAUAGAAUCGGCGGAGACGGGGGUCACCGAUUUGACGGCACUGCCCGCGAUCAUGGAGACAUUGUCGAUGAUCACAGAGACAGCGUCUAUGAUCUCAGAGACAUCGUCCACGAUCACAAAGACAUUGUCCAUGAUCACAGAGACUUUGUCCAUAAUCUCAGAGACAUUGUCCGCGAUCACAAAGACGUAGUCCACGAUCACAGAGACGUAGUCCAUGAUCACAGAAAGUCUCAUUCAAUGAGGAAGUUCUUUGAGACCAGGACAGAGGCCUCCAGGUGUCACCACUUUUUCCACCACAUCGUCCACGAUUGCUGAGACAUCGUCAACGAUCGGAGAGACAUUGUUGAGGAUGAGGGAGACAUGGUCCACGAUCAGAGACGUCGUCUAUGGUCGCAGAGACCUUGUCAAAGACGAGAGAGACGUUGUCCAUGGUCAGAGACAUUGUCCCAUGCUUCGUAGAGACCUUGCGAUAGAAUCGGCGGAGACUGGGGUCACCGAUUUGACGGCACUGCCCGCGAUCAUGGAGACAUUGUCGAUGAUCACAGAGACAGCGUCUAUGAUCUCAGAGACAUCGUCCACGAUCACAAAGACAUUGUCCAUGAUCACAGAGACUUUGUCCAUAAUCUCAGAGACAUUGUCCGCGAUCACAAAGACGUAGUCCACGAUCACAGAAAGUCUCAUUCAAUGAGGAAGUUCUUUGAGACCAGGACAGAGGCCUCCAGGUGUCACCACUUUUUCCACCACAUCAUCCAUGAUCGCCCGAGACAUCGUCCACGAUCGGAGAGACAUUGUUGAGGAUGAGGGAGACAUGGUCCACGAUCAGAGACGUCGUCUAUGGUCGCAGAGACCUUGUCAAAGACGAGAGAGACGUUGUCCAUGGUCAGAGACAUUGUCCCAUGCUUCGUAGAGACCUUGCGAUAGAAUCGGCGGAGACGGGGGUCACCGAUUUGACGGCACUGCCCGCGAUCAUGGAGACAUUGUCGAUGAUCACAGAGACAGCGUCUAUGAUCUCAGAGACAUCGUCCACGAUCACAAAGACAUUGUCCAUGAUCACAGAGACUUUGUCCAUAAUCUCAGAGACAUUGUCCGCGAUCACAAAGACGUAGUCCACGAUCACAGAGACGUAGUCCAUGAUCACAGAAAGUCUCAUUCAAUGAGGAAGUUCUUUGAGACCAGGACAGAGGCCUCCAGGUGUCACCACUUUUUCCACCACAUCGUCCACGAUUGCUGAGACAUCGUCAACGAUCGGAGAGACAUUGUUGAGGAUGAGGGAGACAUGGUCCACGAUCAGAGACGUCGUCUAUGGUCGCAGAGACCUUGUCAAAGACGAGAGAGACGUUGUCCAUGGUCAGAGACAUUGUCCCAUGCUUCGUAGAGACCUUGCGAUAGAAUCGGCGGAGACUGGGGUCACCGAUUUGACGGCACUGCCCGCGAUCAUGGAGACAUUGUCGAUGAUCACAGAGACAGCGUCUAUGAUCUCAGAGACAUCGUCCACGAUCACAAAGACAUUGUCCAUGAUCACAGAGACUUUGUCCAUAAUCUCAGAGACAUUGUCCGCGAUCACAAAGACGUAGUCCACGAUCACAGAAAGUCUCAUUCAAUGAGGAAGUUCUUUGAGACCAGGACAGAGGCCUCCAGGUGUCACCACUUUUUCCACCACAUCGUCCAUGAUCGCCCGAGACAUCGUCCACGAUCGGAGAGACAUUGUUGAGGAUGAGGGAGACAUGGUCCACGAUCAGAGACGUCGUCUAUGGUCGCAGAGACCUUGUCAAAGACGAGAGAGACGUUGUCCAUGGUCAGAGAUAUGUCCCAUGCUUCGUAGAGACCUUGCGAUAGAAUCGGCGGAGACUGGGGUCACCGAUUUGACGGCACUGCCCGCGAUCAUGGAGACAUUGUCGAUGAUCACACAGACAGCGUCUAUGAUCUCAGAGACAUCGUCCACGAUCACAGAGACUUUGUCCAUAAUCUCAGAGACUUUGUCCAUAAUCUCAGAGACUUUGUCCAUAAUCUCAGAGACAUUGUCCGCGAUCACAGAGCCGUAGUCCACGAUCACAGAGAGUCUUCGUACAAUGAAGAAGUUCUUUGAGACCAGGACAGAGUCCUCCAGGAGGAGAAGACCACAUCAACUGAAGAGGACAACAAAAGUAGUUAAAUGUUGUUCAAGAUGUUUAGUGAUGUAUAAGACUGAAGCAUAUCUCCAUAAGUGCUCAUCACUGUAUUAAAUGUGAGGUGAGAGAAUAAAAUAUGUCUCCAUGUGG